AUGAUUUUGUCUUCCUUUAGCUUCUCUUUUGCUUUGCUUUAGUCUUCCUUUAGCUUUUCUUCAAUAUAACACCAUUUUCUGUGGCUCAGAUCGCAAAACCAUCUUCAUGAAAGUUGUUCCUUAGCUCGUGAACUACAACAUAUCCGAAUUGGAGAUCCAUCGGAGCAGUACAACUCCAGAAAUUCAGGUAUGAUGAGUGAUUGUUCGUCAUUUGUAUAUCAACGCGUCAGACUUGUUGUGAGCUUCAAAAACUCCAUUUUCUCUUGCUCAGAUCAACAUACUUUCUUCAUCGAAGUUGUUCCUUAACUUGUGAACUACAACAUAUCCAAAUUUGAGGUCCCUCGGAGCAGUAUAACUCCAGAAAUCCAGGUAUGAUGAGUGACUGUUUAUCAUUUGUCUGUCAACCCGUCAGAUUUGUUGUGAGCUUUGAAACUCUAUUUUCUCUUGCUCAAAUAAGCAUGCUUUCUUCAUUGAAGUUGUUCCUCAGCUUGUGAACUACAACAUAUCCAAAUUUGAGAUCCCUCGGAGCUGUAUAACUCAAGAAAUUCAGGUAUGAUGAAUGACUGGUUAUUAUUUUUCUGUCAACCCGUCAGAUUUGUUGUGAGCUUUGAAACUCUAUUUUCUCUUGCUCAGAUCAGCAUGCUUUCUUCAUUGAAGUUGUUCCUCAGCUUGUGAACUUCAACAUAUCCAAAUUUGAGAUCCCUCGGAGAAGUAUAACUCCAGAAAUCCAGGUAUGAUGAAUGACUGGUUAUUAUUUUUCUGUCAACCCGUCAGAUUUGUUGUGAGCUUUGAAACUCUAUUUUCUAUUGUUCAGAUCAGCAUGCUUUCUUCAUUGAAGUUGUUCCUCAUCGUCUCUUUCAUAACAUAUCAAAAAUUCAGAAUGAACUAAUGGUUAAAUAUUUCCAGAUCUUCGAAACAUCACAGCAGCUUCGAAAUCUGCAAGAAUCCGACUGUCAUGCUUGGAGCUUCAACACUUUAAUUUCCGUGGCUCAAACAGAAAUGGUUCCUUCUUGAAAGUUGUUCAUCUGCUCAAGAACUAGAGGGUGUCCAAAAUUCAGCUCCAUUGGAGAGAAGCAGCAGCUGCAAAAAUUUGAUAGAGAAAAGGAGGCGAAGCUUUGUUGGAUUUCUAGGCUGGGGAAGAUUCCAGUUUUUGUAGCAACUUCAGUACUGGUGAAUUGCUUGUAUUUUUGUCCAUAACUAAAUUUUGGACUUUGAAUUAUUAUUUGAUCUAUCAUAAUAUGUUUGGGAACAUAUAUAAGUGAAUAAAUAAGAAGGAAGAUUUUGGGCCCUUGUGGGUGUAAAACAAAAAAUGUUUAGGUUGUGUGAACAAAAUUUGUUUAUUUGGAGCAAGGUUUUGUGUUGAAGCUUUGUAGGUGAAGCUUUGGUGUUGAAGCUUUCUAGGUGAAGCUUUGAUGGUGAAGCUUUGUAGAUGAAGCUUUGUAGAUGAAGCUUUCUAGGUGAAGCUUUUUUAGGUGAAGCUUUGUAGGUGAAGCUUUUUUAAGUGAAGCUUUGGGCCCUUGUGAAGCUUUGGAGGUGAAGCUUUUCGGGUGAAGCUUUUUUGGGUGAAGCUUUGUGGGUGAAGCUUUUGAGGUGAAGCUUUGUGGGUGAAGCUUUGGAGGUGAAGCUUUUCGGGUGAAGCUUUUUUGGGUGAAGCUUUGUGGGUGAAGCUUUUUAGGUGAAGCUUUGUGGGUGAAGCUUUGGAGGUGAAGCUUUUUUAAGUGAAGCUUUGGGCCCUUGUGAAGCUUUGGAGGUGAAGCUUUUCGGGUGAAGCUUUUUUGGGUGAAGCUUUGUGGGUGAAGCUUUUGAGGUGAAGCUUUGUGGGUGAAGCUUUGGAGGUGAAGCUUUGUGGGUGAAGCUUUGGAGGUGAAGCUUUUCGGGUGAAGCUUUUUUUGGGU
rnacentral:lncRNA from 1 species